rnacentral:tRNA from 1 species
GGCCCGAUGGUUCAGUUGGUUAGAACGCCGCCCUGUCACGGCGGAGGUCGAGGGUUCAAGUCCCUCUCGGGUCG